UGCAAGCUUAAUAAACAAGUA
rnacentral:piRNA from 1 species